rnacentral:tRNA from 1 species
GAGGAUAUAGCUCAGUGCGGUAGAGUGCAUGCUUAGAAUGCACAAGGUCCUGGGUUCAAUCCCCAGUACCUCCU